GACGAACGCUGGCGGCGUGCUUAACACAUGCAAGUCGAACGGUGAAGCGCCUUCCUUUUUGGUGGGUGUGGAUGAGUGGCGAACGGGUGAGUAACACGUGAGUAACCUGCCCCCUUCUUCUGGAUAACCGCAUGAAAGCGUGGCUAAUACGGGAUAUUCUGGGUCUGUCGCAUGAUGGGUCUGGGAAAGAUAUUGUUUCGGUGGGGGAUGGGCUCGCGGCCUAUCAGCUUGUUGGUGGGGUGAGGGCCUACCAAGGCGGUGACGGGUAGCCGGCCUGCGAGGGUGGCCGGUCACACUGGGGCUGAGGCACGGCCACGCCUGCUACGGGAGGCAGCAGUGAGGAAUAUUGGACGAUGGGCGCGAGCCUGAUGCAGCGACGCCGCGUGAGGGAUGGAGGCCUUCGGGUUGUGAACCUCUUUCGCCAGUGAAGCAGGCCUGCCUCGUUUGUGGGUGGGUUGACGGUAGCUGGAUAAGAAGCGCCGGCUAACUACGUG
rnacentral:rRNA from 1 species